GAGAGAUCGAGAUAUUUUUUUCGUUAGUGUGCCAGUCUAGUCACCCCAGGGUCCUCGAUGGAAAUGCUGUAUGUUUACAAUUAUUUUAUUGAUGUUGGAUUUUUUACGGUGAAAGAAUCUAAACUGUCGAGAAACUGUUGGGAUUUUUUUUCUUCAUUUUCCUGACUCAAGCGCGCACGAGAGCAAGAGCGAAGUGGAAAAACGGACCUAUAAUAAAUUCAUCGAUUGCAGUUAUUUGGUUACUAAUUUAUUCUAAUCAAUACGUAAUAACCUGUUGUUCCAAGAAGAGAAAGGCGCGAUUCACUGAUACCUAAUGUCAUGAUUUAAUGUCGAGAAGAAUAGAAUUCAAGAGAACACAAGUUAUUUAUUGAAAAACCUAAAAACAAUGCAAUAUACGUUCAAUAUGUAAAUACUAUAUUUGGAGUAUUGCUUGUUCGGCGACAACGUCGCCAAAAGGAGCUCAUCUAUUUUCUCAAGCACUCUCUCCCAUGUCACAUUCAACAUCAAUAGAAAUAGUUGCGGUUGUGUUAUUGUUGUAAUUUGUGUCAAAACCGAAGGAUGACUGUCAAACUGGAUUUUGAAGAGUGUCUCAAAGACUCCCCCCGAUUCAGGGCCGCCAUUGAAGUGGUGGAAGGAGAUGUCUGUGAAUUGGAAACGCGAUUAGAGAAGCUGGUGAAGCAGUGCCACUCCAUGCUAGAGGCUGGCAGGGCCUACUGUCAGACCAGCAAGAGCUUUGUCACAGGGCUCAAAGAGCUGGGCCACCACUGUUCUGGGGACAACAUGAUGGGGGAGUGUUUGGAGAAAUUCUCCAAGAAGCUGGCAGUGAUUCUGGAAGCUCAGGGGGAAGUGAUUGAAAGCACACAGAAGUCGGUGAAGUUGAAGUUGCUGAGUUUUGUGAAAGAGGACGUGCGUCGGUUCAAGGAUGUGCGUAAGGAGUUUGAGCGGGGUAGUGAGAGUCUGGAGGCAGCAUUGGGGAGGAACGCUCAGGCCCCCCGGGGAAAACAGCACGAGGUAGAAGAGUCCAGCCAUGCCCUCCUCAACGCCCGCAAGACCUUCCGCUCCGGAGCCCUCGACUACGUACUGCAGAUCAAUGUCAUCGAGGCCAAGAAGAAGACCGACAUCCUGAUGGCGAUGGUGUCUAUGAUGGAUGCCCAGUCCCAGUUCUUCCAGCAAGGUCACCAGUCCCUCUCAGAGCUGGACGACUACCGCCGCACCCUGAGUGAAGAGCACACUCAACUAGUGUUGAAUUCUGCCAGGGAGAAGAGAGACAUGGAACAGAGACACGAGGCCAUUAAGAAAAAGGAUGUGUCCUAUGAUAACUCCUUAAUGGAUUUCUGUGCUGAUGCCACCAACGGUAUUGCCAUGGAGGGCUACCUGUAUAAGAGAGCUAGCAAUGCCUUCAAGACCUGGAGCAGGCGCUGGUUCUCCAUUCAGAAAAAUCAACUGGUCUAUCAGAAGAAAUUCAAGGAUCAGCCCACAGUAGUGAUUGAGGAUCUGCGUCUUUGUACAGUGAAGGUCUGCGUUGACAACGAGAGACGAUUCUGCUUCGAGGUGGUCUCUCCAUCCAAGAGCUGUCUGUUACAGGCAGACUCCGAGCACCAGCAGCAGGGCUGGAUCAGUGCUGUCCAGAACAGCAUUGCUUCAGCCUUCCAGGAACGCAGAGAAGACCCACACUGUCCCAGGGAGCAUUGCAGCUCUGUGUCGGGAGGCAGCCCAGGAGGAGGAGGGCUGUGUGGGGAGCAGGAGAAGACAGGGGGCCGCGAGGCUCUGGAGGAGGUCCAGGCUAUUCCGGGGAACAUGCAGUGCUGCGACUGUGGAGAGCCCGGUCCAGACUGGGCCUCUAUCAACCUGGGGAUCACCCUCUGCAUCGUCUGCUCGGGGAUACACAGGAGUCUGGGUGUCCAUUUCUCCAAAGUACGCUCCCUCACCCUGGACUCCUGGGAACCAGAGCUGGUCCGGUUGAUGUGUGAGUUGGGAAACACAGCCAUCAACAGGAUCUACGAGGGGCGAAUUGAUGAGAUCACCAUCAAGAAACCCCACCCGUCCAGUCCAAGGGGUGAUAAGGAGUCGUGGAUUCGUUCUAAGUACGUGGAGAAGAAGUUCAUCCAGAAGCUCCCGGAGACGGGACGUAAAGCUCCCCUGCGGCGCUCCAGCGCCCGGAGGAACAGGGCUAACACCCAGGAGAGGCCAGCCGGGUCACGACCCCCACUCAAACCAAAACCCACCCGGGCCACCCUGCCACGACUCGCAGGGCUCAAUCAGAGUGACCUUGUCCAAGAGAACAAUACGGGCAUUCACAAAGAUGAUGAAGAUGACGAAGAGGAGGACCUGUCUGGUCUUCAUCCCGGGGCGUUGUUAUAUCGGUCUGCAGCGCUGCAGCAUUUCCCUGUCAUGGCCGACGCCCUGGCCCACGGAGCUGACGUCAACUGGGUCAACACAGCCGAGGAGUCCAGCACCCCACUCCUACAGGCCGUCACCGCGAACUCCUUGGCAGCGUGUGAGUUCCUGCUACAGAACGGUGCCAAUGUCAACACAGCAGACAGCAACAGGAGAGGACCUCUACACCACGCCACUAUACUGGGACACACUGGGCUUGUGUGUCUGUUCCUGAAGCGAGGGGCGGACUACAACGCCAGAGACAACAACCAGAAAGACCCCAUUACUAUCGCCGUGGAGACAGCCAACGCUGACAUUGUCACCCUGCUGCGAAUUGCCAAGAUGAACAAGGAGAUGCGGGAGAUGGAUGGAGCCUUUGGCCAAUCAGGUCACUCGGGGGGACAGGGUGUGGGCGGGACAGGGAGUGGGAUGGGCCAAACCAGGAAGGGACUUCAGGCCUUGAAGAACCAACUGAGUGGAUGGGCACUAGGGGGGCAGAAUGAGUAGAGAGAGGUGGACUGGCAUCGUAAUUGAGGAGAGAACAGAUAGGGAGGAGGGGUACCUCUGAGGUGCGUAGGCUACUCGUCUAACAGUUCCCAGUAAGUUGUGAGGUAACAUUCAAAUAGAUUAGAUUUUUUGUUUAACAUUAAAGUCAAGCAUGAUGUUGAAGUUAUGUUUUGAUUGCUUUCUGGAAUCAUUGCUGGACCCUUCCUAGAGUGCUGUCAGAAGAAAUCUGGACAAAUAAGAGGUUAGGGGGAACGUUCUUGUAACUUAUAUGGGGAACGUUCCUGGAACUGAGAGUUGUUAACUGGAUUACUGGGUAGGGACCAUUUGCUGUAUCUCCAAAGAGGGAGUAGAGUGAAUGCAGUUUGAGUAGAGGGAUAACUCGAAUACAGGGUAAAUGUAUGGACAAGAGGCUAUACUGUAGUAUUUCUGUAUGUUGGAAGAGGCAACCAUUUUGGGAAUAUAAUACUAAAGGGAAAAACUGGGAAAAGGAGAGAACAUUCCAUAGAAGAGGAAGGAGGGACGUUUAAAGGGAGUGUUUAUGUAUGCACACCACGAGAGAGUCCACGUUGCACUUUGAUGUAGAAUGAAUGAAUGCCGUUAGUCAUCCUGCACUUUACAGCCCAAAUAAGCUCAAUGUAGAUCAGUGUAUGAUUGCACUGGGCAUUGGCCAUGUUUAACAUGUAUUUAUACACCUAUAUAUAAGUGUAGAGUUCUAUAUGGACUUAUGUGUGAAUGUAUUGUAUGAUAGCACAGGAUGCUGCUUGAAAAAGAAUGAAUCUGAUUGUUAGUGUUGUCUCAUCGUGUACAUUUUAUGCACCUUGCAUAAGUCCAACAACCAAUGGUAUUUUCACUUGAGGGUUUUUCCAUUAUACAACUGUAUGUUCCCCCAGGCUUGCUUUAACCUUUUCAAACGGGUUCUGUGGUCACACCUAAGUGGUUACUAUUGUGUUUGACCGGUUUCAAAUGCACACUGCCACCAUUUAAGCGUGACUUUUGUUUGAGAAUUAGAACUUGGUGCUGAGAACAUGAAGAUGUAUAGAAAGUAAUGAGCCACUCUGUCUAUUGUAGUUCAGUGUUUUCCAAACAGUGGCUCAGGGCCCACUUGUGGGUUAUUGUUGUGGCCAGUCUUAGGCUGCUGGUCAAGCCUGGGUCGUGGCUGUUGUAAUCAUGUUUGUGUCUAUCUGGACAAUGAACAAUGCACCAUGAUUAAACAUUUGGGAACCACUGGUCUGAGCCCAUCAGCUAGCCAGUAGGCCUAGCUGAUGCAACCAAUUUGGGCUGGAACAGUGGACUCUCAAUGGGUAGAGCUGUAAUAAUUUUUGCGGUGUUGUAUGCGAAAGAGGGUGGACCAUCCAUUCCUCCAUAGCCAAACUGUCUGCCAAGUGUGUUCCAAGUUAUUUACUCCAGUACUGUCACAAUAACUCCCUAUUUCAAAUCCUGGUUUGAAGUAUCCUAACUCAAAUAAUUUGUCUGGCUCUGGAGGACUGAGGUUGUGAGGCUCAUGUAAUGUCUAUACUCGGAAAUGCUUCAUUUGUCUUGUCAGUCUCUGAUGUGCAGUGCUUUCUCGUUGUUGUUUUGUGAGCCUUUGUGUUCGUCCAAUGAGGCGACUGCCUGCUCUGCGCUGCUUGCACAGUGUGUCCCUUGAUGCCACCUCCUUACAGCGCUACAGGUGAUGAAACGUACCAGGACAUCUUCAGGGACUUCUCUCACAUGGCAUCUAACAACCCGGAGAAACUCAAACGCCGCAGCACAGACUUUAAAACUUGACCUUACAGCUGUUUCUUUUGUAUGCUGUUGUUACGCUGUUUUCCUUUCUUUUUUGUUGUUGUCACACACACACACACACACGCCUACACAGACAAACACACACACACACAUUUGCUGGCCACCUGCUCUGCGUUAGGUCAUUGCUCAGCUGGUGAUUACUUUAGUAGCGCCUCCGGUCCAACAGUAAUGUCUUUGUGUUUGGCCUCCAGAGGAGAACACUCCGGCUUAGUGGCUACAUGAGACACUUGUUGAAGGAGAUCGAAGAUGUACAGCCUAAUAAUGACGGCUGAUACAGUAAUAACCUCCCAUUGAAUGACUUAUUUCCUCAUUUCAUUUGGCUAACCGUAGUCUAGCGGAGCCACCCGACACAAUUCUUGUCUCGUUGACUCGACUGUAAGGCUCGGUUUCCCACAACUACCGUUGAACAAAAACAAUGCAACUUUAAUAGCUGUGUUGCUUUCUGUCGAUCCUCCUCAAUGUGCUGUUGUGACAGAAAGAAAAGGAGGGAUAAGUUUGAAGCACAGGGUAAAACUGUUAU